rnacentral:tRNA from 1 species
UGGAAGUCUGAAACUUAGGCUGCUAACUUGAGUUCGGGAAAUCUUAUUUUCCACUUUCAU